AAGACUAACAAGGAUUCCCCUAGUAACGGCGAGUGAAGCGGGAAGAGCUCAAAUUUGUAAUCUGGCGGUCUGAAGCCGUCCGAGUUGUAGUCUGGAGAAGCGUUUUCCGUGCCGGACCGUGUACAAGUCCCUUGGAACGGGGCGUCAUAGAGGGUGAGAAUCCCGUCUCUGACACGGACUACCGGUGCUUUGUGAUGCGCUCUCGAAGAGUCGAGUUGUUUGGGAAUGCAGCUCAAAAUGGGUGGUAAAUUCCAUCUAAAGCUAAAUAUUGGCGAAAGACCGAUAGCGAACAAGUACCGUGAGGGAAAGAUGAAAAGCACUUUGGAAAGAGAGUUAAACAGUACGUGAAAUUGUUGAAAGGGAAACGCUUGAAGUCAGUCGCGUCUUCUGAGACUCAGCCAGGUUCUUACCUGGUGCACUUCUCGGUGUGACGGGCCAGCAUCGAUUUCGACCGUCGGAGAAAGGCUUGGGGAAUGUGGCACCUUCGGGUGUGUUAUAGCCCUUUGUUGUAUGCGACGGUGGGGAUCGAGGACCGCAGCACGCCCUUUACGGGGCCGGGGUUCGCCCACGUAACGUGCUUAGGAUGCUGGCGUAAUGGCUUUAAGCGACCCGUCUUGAAACACGGACCAAGGAGUCUAACAUGCCUGCGAGUGUUUGGGUGGAAAACCCGGACGCGUAAUGAAAGUGAAAGGUCGAGACCUCUGUCGUGGAGGGCACCGACGCCCGGACCAGACCUUCUGUGACGGUUCCGAGGUAGAGCAUGUAUGUUGGGACCCGAAAGAUGGUGAACUAUGCCUGAGUAGGGUGAAGCCAGAGGAAACUCUGGUGGAGGCUCGUAGCGAUUCUGACGUGCAAAUCGAUCGUCGAACUUGGGUAUAGGGGCGAAAGACUAAUCGAACC
rnacentral:rRNA from 1 species